rnacentral:rRNA from 1 species
AUGGCUCACAUUGAACGCUGGCGGCAGGCCUAACACAUGCAAGUCGAACGGUAACAGGAAGCAGCUUGCUGCUUUGCUGACGAGUGGCGGACGGGUGAGUAAUGUCUGGGAAACUGCCUGAUGGAGGGGGAUAACUACUGGAAACGGUAGCUAAUACCGCAUAACGUCGCAAGACCAAAGAGGGGGACCUUAGGGCCUCUUGCCAUCGGAUGUGCCCAGAUGGGAUUAGCUAGUAGGUGGGGUAACGGCUCACCUAGGCGACGAUCCCUAGCUGGUCUGAGAGGAUGACCAGCCACACUGGAACUGAGACACGGUCCAGACUCCUACGGGAGGCAGCAGUGGGGAAUAUUGCACAAUGGGCGCAAGCCUGAUGCAGCCAUGCCGCGUGUAUGAAGAAGGCCUUCGGGUUGUAAAGUACUUUCAGCGGGGAGGAAGGGAGUAAAGUUAAUACCUUUGCUCAUUGACGUUACCCGCAGAAGAAGCACCGGCUAACUCCGUGCCAGCAGCCGCGGUAAUACGGAGGGUGCAAGCGUUAAUCGGAAUUACUGGGCGUAAAGCGCACGCAGGCGGUUUGUUAAGUCAGAUGUGAAAUCCCCGGGCUCAACCUGGGAACUGCAUCUGAUACUGGCAAGCUUGAGUCUCGUAGAGGGGGGUAGAAUUCCAGGUGUAGCGGUGAAAUGCGUAGAGAUCUGGAGGAAUACCGGUGGCGAAGGCGGCCCCCUGGACGAAGACUGACGCUCAGGUGCGAAAGCGUGGGGAGCAAACAGGAUUAGAUACCCUGGUAGUCCACGCCGUAAACGAUGUCGACUUGGAGGUUGUGCCCUUGAGGCGUGGCUUCCGGAGCUAACGCGUUAAGUCGACCGCCUGGGGAGUACGGCCGCAAGGUUAAAACUCAAAUGAAUUGACGGGGGCCCGCACAAGCGGUGGAGCAUGUGGUUUAAUUCGAUGCAACGCGAAGAACCUUACCUGGUCUUGACAUCCACGGAAGUUUUCAGAGAUGAGAAUGUGCCUUCGGGAACCGUGAGACAGGUGCUGCAUGGCUGUCGUCAGCUCGUGUUGUGAAAUGUUGGGUUAAGUCCCGCAACGAGCGCAACCCUUAUCCUUUGUUGCCAGCGGUCCGGCCGGGAACUCAAAGGAGACUGCCAGUGAUAAACUGGAGGAAGGUGGGGAUGACGUCAAGUCAUCAUGGCCCUUACGACCAGGGCUACACACGUGCUACAAUGGCGCAUACAAAGAGAAGCGACCUCGCGAGAGCAAGCGGACCUCAUAAAGUGCGUCGUAGUCCGGAUUGGAGUCUGCAACUCGACUCCAUGAAGUCGGAAUCGCUAGUAAUCGUGUAUCAGAAUGCCACGGUGAAUACGUUCCCGGGCCUUGUACACACCGCCCGUCACACCAUGGGAGUGGGUUGCAAAAGAAGUAGGUAGCUUAACCUUCGGGAGGGCGCUUACCACUUUGUGAUUCAUGACUGGGGUGAAGUCGUAACAAGGU